GUAGUUUUUUCCUUCAAUAUUUCUUUCUUUAAUUUCACUUCGUUGUUGGUGAUUAGAAUUUGAUAAUCUUAACUUUCUUAAAUGUCCUUUUUUUAUUCUAUUUGACUAUUUGUGUCUGGUGUGAGCUCUCUGUUUUGGCAAGUUAUUUGUUGCAAUCUUUCUUCGUUGGUGAUCGAAAGUUUGUGGGUAUAUAUUUUUUUUCUUAUUUGAAAAUAUCUGUCCAUCGCAUUAAAGUUUUGAAUCACGUAGUAGCUAUAAGUUGCUUCCUCCACUAUUUCUUGCAAAUAUCACUUACAACUUUUGCAACAAAGGUGUUUGAUGAUAUGUAUGACUCAUUCUGUUUGUGUAACAAAACACACAAAUCUUAUUUUCCACUUCCCCUUGGUAGAGUUAUGCUUUUUUAAUGCUUUCAAGUUGGCUUCUUGGUGUCCAAACCAUGGGAAUGAUUUUCAAAUUCCAAGGAAGACUAAACAGUACCUUAUCUGGGAGCAUCUUAUGAAGCCAUUCAAGGAAAACUAAACAGAACCUUAUCUGGGAUCAUAUUUUUUUUUUCAAGUUCAGUGUGUAUUUGUGGAUAUGCCAUUUUGUUGUUUGAAGACUUCCACCACAUGUAUUUGAGAUUUCAAAUGGAAUAUAGUUUGAA